ACACGCAUGACACACUGCAUAUCAAUAAGCGGAGGAAAAGAAACUAACUAGGAUUCCCUCAGUAACGGCGAGUGAAGCGGGAAGAGCUCAAAUUUGAAAUCUUCAAGGUUUUACCUUGACGAAUUGUAGUUUAAAGAAGUGUUUUCUGUUGGAGUUUCGGUAAAAGUUCUUUGGAAUAGGACAUCAUAGAGGGUGAGAAGUCCCGUAUUUGACCAUUACUUUCCAGCUGUGUGAUACACAUUUCAAAGAGUCGGAUUGUUUGGGAAUGCAGUCCAAAAUGGGUGGUAAAUUUCAUCUAAAGCUAAAUAUUGGCGAGAGACCGAUAGUGAACAAGUACCGUGAGGGAAAGAUGAAAAGAACUUUGAAAAGAGAGUUAAACAGUACGUGAAAUUGUCAAAAGGGAAGCGUUUGACACCAGUGUUGUUUUCUCGAAAAUCAAUUAAAAAAGGCCGGAUUUUGUGUUGUAUUGACCUUAAAAGCUUUCUUCACUCUUUUCUUGUCUUUUUUAAUGCACUUUUCGUUUAACAAGUCAACAUCAGUUUCUUUUGUUGUAAAAGGGUCAUUGGAAGGUGGCUUUCUUUUCGGAGAAAGUGUUUAUAGCCUUUGAUCUCUGCAACCGGAGAGACUGAGGUCUGCAGCGUAGACUCUUCGGGGUUAGAUACAUUUGUGCUAAGUUAUAGCUUUUCAUAGACAACUUGUUGACUAUAUUUAGUCUUGUAGGCUUACUCGCUUACUGCUAUUUUACCUACGCUUAGGAUGUUGACUGAUAUGUAGUCGUA
rnacentral:rRNA from 1 species